AUUAAAGUGGCAGAGCCUGGACAUUGCAAAAGGCCUAAGCCCUUUCCACAGAGGUUCAAGUCCUCUCUUUAAUU
rnacentral:tRNA from 3 species